rnacentral:lncRNA from 1 species
AAGCAAAGAAAAAUUAGAAACCCUUAUGGAAUCUCAUAAAAUAAUAGGCAGAGCUAGAAUUUGAACCUAAGCAGUUGGUUUCUAGAUUCUGUCUUAAAAUAUCAUGCUAUAACAUUGCUACAUCAUACUAAAAAAAUAAGAUCAAAAAAAUUUUUUAAACUAAGAAAGAAAUUUUAGAGUCAAUGAUUAUUAAUGGUGCUCUUUUACUUAUGCUGGACUAAAAGAUGGAAAUCAUUAGUACAGAUAUUAUGCAACAAUUGCCACUA